rnacentral:rRNA from 1 species
GAUGAACGCUGGCGGCGUGCCUAAUACAUGCAAGUCGAGCGAACGGACGAGAAGCUUGCUUCUCUGAUGUUAGCGGCGGACGGGUGAGUAACACGUGGAUAACCUACCUAUAAGACUGGGAUAACUUCGGGAAACCGGAGCUCAUACCGGAUGAUAUUUUGAACCGCAUGGUUCAAAAGUGAAAGACGGUCUUGCUGUCACUUAUAGAUGGAUCCGAGCUGCAUUAGCUAGUUGGUAAGGUAACGGCUUACCAAGGCAACGAUGCAGAGCCGACCUGAGAGGGUGAUCGGCCACACUGGAACUGAGACACGGUCCAGACUCCUACGGGAGGCAGCAGUAGGGAAUCUUCCGCAAUGGGCGAAAGCCUGACGGAGCAACGCCGCGUGAGUGAUGAAGGUCUUCGGAUCGUAAAACUCUGUUAUUAGGGAAGAACAUAUGUGUAAGUAACUGUGCACAUCUUGACGGUACCUAAUCAGAAAGCCACGGCUAACUACGUG